CCUACGGGAGGCUGCAGUCGGGAAUAUUGCGCAAUGGAGGAAACUCUGACGCAGUGACGCCGCGUGCAGGAAGAAGGUUUUCGGAUUGUAAACUGCUUUAGACAGGGAAGAAACAAGACAGUACCUGAGUAAGAAGCCCCGGCUAACUACGUGCCAGCAGCCGCGGUAAUACGUAGGGGGCAAGCGUUAUCCGGAUUUACUGGGGGUAAAGGGAGCGUAGGCGGUGCGCCAAGUCUGGAGUGAAAUGCCGCAGCUUAACUGCGGAACUGCUUUGGAAACUGGCGAACUAGAGUGCGGGAGGGGUAAGCAGAAUUCCUAGUGUAGCGGUGAAAUGCGUAGAUAUUAGGAGGAACACCGGUGGCGGAGGCGGCUUACUGGACCGUAACUGACGUUGAGGCUCGAAAGCGUGGGGAGCAAACAGGAUUAGAUACCCCUGUAGUC
rnacentral:rRNA from 1 species